rnacentral:rRNA from 1 species
GUGGGGAAUUUUGGACAAUGGGCGAAAGCCUGAUCCAGCCAUGCCGCGUGUGUGAAGAAGGUCUUCGGAUUGUAAAGCACUUUAAGUUGGGAGGAAGGGCAGUAAGUUAAUACCUUGCUGUUUUGACGUUACCGACAGAAUAAGCACCGGCUAACUUCGUGCCAGCAGCCGCGGUAAUACGAAGGGUGCAAGCGUUAAUCGGAAUUACUGGGCGUAAAGCGCGCGUAGGUGGUUUUGUAAGUUGGAGGUGAAAUCCCCGGGCUCAACCUGGGAACUGCCUCCAAAACUGCAUGACUAGAGUACGGUAGAGGGUAGUGGAAUUUCCUGUGUAGCGGUGAAAUGCGUAGAUAUAGGAAGGAACACCAGUGGCGAAGGCGACUACCUGGACUGAUACUGACACUGAGGUGCGAAAGCGUGGGGAGCAAACAGGAUUAGAAACCCGGGUAGUCC